CUAGGAUAAACAAGAGUAAAAGAGGGAAUCACCAGAAGUUUCCACCAAUAAGGUCACUGGGGACAUUUAUAUCUGAAUCUCAAAACCUGACUCCUAAAAGCAUGAAGAGUGAUGACAGCAAAAAAAACAGAAUUCGGAAGGCAGCAGGGCUUCCUAGGCAGGCAUGGCCCCAUCCUGGUGGACGGGAUCCCAGUUACAACAAGAUCAUCUGACUCCAAUGAUAAUCAGCCAGUCCACAGGAUCACCAUUAGCUCAGUCCGUGAAACACCUGAACAAAUGCCAAAGGAACUUGGAUGUAUUCCUCAUUCUGCAUUUUCUUUAUUUUUUUCAUUUAAACAUCUGUUUUCCCAUGUUGACAUAUGAGCUCAUAACUUACAGAACAAAGACAGCCCAGGCCUUCAUGCAAUGGCAUGCCUGUGUAGGUAGUGCUGGCCUUUCUAAUGCUUUCGAGGUACCAGUUCUGCUCUUUAGAGUUGCCAAAAUUUAUUGCCACUAUGUAAAGAAUGAAAAGAGGCACUGAAAACUUCUUACACAGGGUAUCACUUUGAGAACACAGUCAGAAGUUACAGCAUAAUGUAAUGAGGGGUAUUGGUUAAAUACAACUUUUUGAGGAAAACAUGACCACGAUUACUUCACGAAUAGCAAUGCUAUGACCACUAUCACACAUCACUUCUAUUUAACUGCACAACACCAUAGCAUUUUCAAAACAAAUGGAACACAUGCCCUAUGCUGAAGCUCCUACAUUUUAGGAUCACAGUCCUGUAAAACAUGCACUUUUUGCAGAUCCUGGGGACCUCUUCAACACCCAAUGGUAAGUGUCAAAGGAUCAGGGCCUCAGCCCCCAACUUUCAGUCAUGUGUCUUCCAUGUGGAAAGCUAUGAAGAGUGUAAGUACUUGCCGACUGAAUAAGUGAAUUUAGAAACAAGAUUAAAGAUAAAAAGUUAGGGAUUACAAAAUAGAGUACGAAGUGGAGUUGCUCUGGACUGUGCUGUGGUUUGUUCUUGUCCCACUGGUGUUGGUUUCUCUUUGUUUAUGUUACUAACUCGUGUACCAGAACAGUACUCCACCCCCAUGCACAUACCCUAAGUUUAAAUGCAAGUAGAUUUAAUGUCAGGCACUGAAAUAUUUUAAAAGAUUUAAAAGUUUGCAGUACUAAAGGUGGUUGUUUUUUUGGUUGGUUGGUUGGUUGGUUAUCUUUGAAAACAGAGUUUACGUAGAAACAAAUAUCUUCUUUUAUAGCUUUGUUCUCAGUUGCAUAAGGAGAAGCUGGAGUAUUGGGAUCAAGAAAGUGAAGGGUAGAGAGGGACAGAAGGAUGAAGCACGCAGGAGUUGGUGCCAGAGGAUCCUGGAAAUGGAAAAAGCAUGAGUGCCAUCAGUAGAUGAGGAAACAGUAGCAGUAUGAUUGUGUGGAGUUGUGGCCAUCUAGACAACUCUAUUAGUAUGGAAACACUGAAUACCAAAUACAGUUCUCAAUAUUCCUCCUGCAAUGUAAACAGAGCUGUGAGUGUCAGGAGCAUGGAAGCUGACUCCAAAGGCCCAGGCAGGCUGUUUUCAGAGCCUGUAGGAGGGCACCACCUUCAGAGAGCUGGAAUGUGAGGAAGGUCUUUUGAGUAUUGGUGGCAUCCAUUGGCUACAUCCAAAACGGGGAGCAGCAUAUGUAUUUUCAGUGGACUUCAGGUUCAUCUGGUUUUCUUUGUGUCAUGCUUCUUCAGGCACAAUUUUAUUUCUCUCUCAGCUCAUUUUAAGGGAGCCUAUAAUUCCCCACAAGGAUUUCUGGAAGUGUCCAUUUCCAUCAUGUUUAUUGUUGGAAGGUUAAAGAUACUGCCAUACUUACUAGUGGUCCAGCCACUAAUGGUAGACAUAACUUUGAGUAUUAUCCACCUUAUUAGCUAUAGGAAUGACCCCACAUGUCUUUCCAUUCUAGGAAAGAAUUCCAAUGCCAGUUUUACCAGACUCUUGGACAAGCACAGAUGGCAGGAGCGAUGGAUUCGUAGAUCUACAUACAGCAGAUGCAAAAGAACACAAUUUGGGGCUAUUUUUCUCACAGUGUGUUGUACUGAGGUAAAAACUGUGUGUUGUCUGUAUAGCACAGGAAUGGACAAGUGUUCCUGCUGCCUGGUUCGAGGGGCAGGCUGAGGAGGACAGGGAGUUAUGAUCCCUAUGUUCCAGACAAAUGGAAUCCCCUGUAGAGUGACAGAUGGUGCUUCAGCUUCUCCACUGCCUCAGCAUCUGUGCAGCACAUCUGGCCAGUUGCUGCUUAAAAGGACAAGGACACCUUCCUAUCACACCUUCCAAAUUUCUCUCAAACAUUUUCUUGUACUGAUUAUCUUUGCUACUCAACAAUGAAUGAGGCUGGAGAGCUAAACCAGCACCCAACUGUUUGCAUUUUCCAGUGCUGGUUUUCUGCUAAAUUGGCCUCUUGAUCCAGCUCCCUGUGAGUGGUCAAGGACAUUUCACUGCAGUUGGGAUGAGCCUCUGCAUCUCCAGGGUUGACCCCAGGCCACCAGGAUAUGCAGAAACCUUCAGCACUUUGGGACUGAUGCUGGUUCUCCAACCUCUCACCCUACAAACAAACUGCUUCUCACCAGCACCUUUCUCCCAGACAAUCUGACAGGAUAAGAAAGGAUUUCCCAGCCGCAGUGUCAGGGAUCUUCUGUGACAGGAAUGCACAGCCUUGCUGGAAUGAGUGGAGAUGAAAGCCACCUCCAUGAAGGCUUGGGACCUUCUGACUGAUGCUUGUGUUCACCAAACAAGCAUUUCCACACUAUGAUUAAUUGUGUUGUCUCAUCAGUGAAGUAAUGCUGCUGUUGUGUUCUGGUUCAGGGUUCUUCUGAAGAGCUUCUCUCUCCUCUGUGAGGGUGCUGGGAGGUCUUGUUGUAUGCUCUUGCAGAAAGUGAUGGCAGCACUUGGCCCCUAGCAGGAGCAUCGGUCCAGAUGUCUACAUCUUCAGUCAUAUAUAUAUGGAACCAUAGAAACCUAUGAAGCUGCUUUUAGCAGGCCCUGCAGAAAUUCAACUAGAUGCUGUCCCCGCCCUAAGAGACUUGCAAUCUAAUCUGGGAGAAGAUCAAAUGGAAAAGGAAAAAGAAAAACAUAAAAUAAUAACAGCAAAUGUUUAUAUAGCUGCUUGCACAACACAGUAACUAUAAGGAGCUACAGUCUUAAAGAUUCAAACAAAAUUAACUAUUAAGAGGAAGCACUCUGUAUUUGCACAGAGAAUCCAGGGAAGAUUUUGAGAAACCAAGAUGAUGACACAGUAGACGCAGACCUUCAAAGUUUUCAGGUACCUAUCUCCCAUGGGAGCUACCAGUGGAAGGGAAUGUGGUUGUCUGAUGAUUGCAGUGCUUUGCAGUACGGCUGAGAAACUCAAGCCCAACUCUAUGCAAUCUCGGGUACUGCGACAAGAGUGCUCCCUCUCCUACUACAUCCAACUGGAUUCAGACUGCAUUUUUCAUACUUGUGCUAAAUCACAACAGGGCUCAGACUGCCCUUUCUCCACCACUCCUUGCUCCUGUGUAUACUCAAUCUGGGAAAUACUGUACAUAAAGUUCCAGCAAUGCGGGGAUAGAGGAACUUUGUGCUUAGGAGAUCCCACGCCUAAAUCAAAAGUCCAGGACACAGCCAAUUUCCAAGUUACUUUUAAAAAUCAGAUAGUGUAAGCAAAUUUAUGUAAAGUAAUGCUGAUUGUAAUCCCACAGAGUAGAACUGCCAGCAGUGCUAAAUCAGAUUUAAACCUCAAUAGUUCCUCUUUCUUACCGCUGUUUUCCUGCUUUAUUCUUUCAUGCCUCGGUCUGUAUAGAUGAACAGAGCAGGAAUGAUAAAUGUGUUACAUAUAGCACUAUUUAUGCCACAUCAGGCUUAUACGUUUUCAUUCUAGAAGAAAGAAAAACUACCUCUCCUAAGAUCAAGAUUCUAAGGAGAGGAUUGUUGUUUUACUUUAUGCAUGAAAACAUUCAUGUUUCAGACAGCCAAUGCCUACAGCAAUGAAGAGGGAAGAAGGGAAGAUAAGAAGGGGCUUAGGCAUUCAGCUUUAUCUUUUUCCCUUCCUUUGUCUCUCUCUCCUUCCAGACACACAAAAAGUAAGGAGCACUCAACAAUUAGCUCUUAACAAACCAGACCAAAACCCAAACAAAUCUCCUGAUCCUUAUCAGAGUGAUGACACAGCAACACAGUAUGUAUAGAAGAAUGAAGAAAAUAUUUUGCAAGUAUACUGGCUCCUGAGAAGGCAUUUUAUGAUGGGUUGUCACUUGCUGCCAAUUCUUCACAAAAAUCAUAUUGCACAAGAAACUGUGUGAUGCGAGAAGAUCAACAAUGUAUCCCCUGCCACCUGAGUCCCCCAUCUGACUGCACGUAUAACCUAGAAUAGAAAAGCUGUUUGUCUUCUUAUCCAUCUUUGAAGUCUAGCAGUUCAACGUUACAUACUGAAGGCAGGCAUUAAUAAACACUUAAUGUCAUAUGUCACACUGGCCUGAAAGUAAGACUUUGAAAAGUGUUAAAUGUUAUCCUGGAGAUAUUCAUCCCUGCUAGUUACAAAGCAGGAGGAAACAGGACUUGCUCAUGGCUUCAAUUCUUAGCCUUUGGCAUAUAUCUCAGAGGAAAUACCUUUAUUUCAAAAGCAAAUUCUGAAACUCUUAUUCUGAUUAAAUUGUCUUCAGCAUAAACAGCUGCUGUGUCAUUCAAGUUUAUGCUGGAUACUCAAUGGAAAAGUCCUUCACAGUUGUUUGUGGUUAUUUUCGGUGGAUGAAAUGGGUUCAACAGUAAGCAUGGGUAGAACUUCUAUCCACACAGUAGUAACAGCAAUAGUAAUAAUAUAAAUAAAACAUCAUCUGCUAUUAUCUAGUUUUGCCAAGAAACUUCUUAUCAGAAUUAAGAAUUUCCAGAUCUGUUUAUUUCUAGGUGUUUGUGGAGUACUUCAAUAUAUAUGUUAAACAUCAGAGUAACAUUUCUGUUCAGGAGUGAUGAUACUGCCUAGGAAUUACCUCUAUGCUUUCAGAAGUUGGUCAUUCUCUGAAGAGAGUCCUGAAGACAAGAUCAGAAACAAUAAUGAAGAAAACUUAAAAUAAAAGGUUGGAAUGAAAUGGCCUCCUGGAUGACCAUGCAACAAGAUCCAGACAGCAAAGAAAAAAAAUCAAACCCUCAAUCAAAAAAAUCAUGAUACUGUUAUAGUUCCCUUAGCAUAGCAUGCCAAGGACCCCAAGCAAAAAUAGUUCUGGUUUUCUCAGCUGAAUGGCUCCUGAAAAAAGUCUAGAUGUACAGAAAGGAAAUGGAUAUAAUUCCUGCAGAGGAUGGGCUUUGAUACCACAGCUCAGAUAUGGAAAAUAAUUCAAAGUGUACGAGAGAGGUCACAGAAUUUUGACUGCAGAUAUCUAGCUAUCUCCUACUAUUUCUUUUGCCCUGUCUUUCUCCAGCUGGAAUAUUUCUCUUAAGCAAUGGACAGGAAAUAAUACAAUGAAACACGUUACUGAAAUCAGAGUUCUCUGUCAGCUUCUUACACCAUGAGGUGAACUUCAUUGUAACUCCUCUGACUUUCUGGACUUAAAUAAGGGAGAGAGGGAAUUAAUGAGUACAGUAGGAAGAAUGACAGUAAAAAUAGACUCACUUUCAAGAGUUACUGUGAAGUACAUCAGGGUUUGAAAUUUGCUAUAUAUUGGCCAGGCUUGUAUGAGUUGCCCCCGUUAAAAAAAACACCCAAUUGAAUUCUGGUCUGAAAGAAUUCAAAUCUUAAUUUACAUUGUCAGUAGCAAUUCGUGUGAUUCAGUAACAGGAAAUGUUUGUACUCAAAUGCCAUAAACAAACCCUACUAAGAAAAGUUUGUUUUUAACAGCUAGAUCACUUAUCUUUGCUUAGCAUAAGUAUUUUUUCCAAGAAAUCAUAAAGAGAAACAUACAUCUAGAAAUUCUGCGCUGCAUAAAAACAUAAAUAUGCCAGACUUUAACUGUGCUUUAAUCAAGAUCAUUUUAAAUAUACGUACAUUAAAGAUUUAGCUCCUGUUUUAUUGGUGUUCCGGGUCCCAGGGCUGACGUGCUGAGCAGGGUGUCGGGGUUGCAUUGGAUGAGCAGUAUCUGCCAUCUGCUGGAGGGACGUCUGCUAGCACUGAUGAGGCUGGAAUGAUUUGGUCAGGUGGCCAAACACAGGAAAACUGAACUGAUAGGACUCCGGAAGAACCUGAGAAAGUGAAACUUAAUGUGACAUAACAGAGACUUUCAUAUGUUAUUUACCAGAGGGGAAAUGAGUCACGAAGUAAUCCAAUGGAAGAGGACUGGAGAUUUGGUUUAAGCCCUGACCAUUGCUCUGUACAGGAUCCCACACUGCUCUCAUUUUAGCUCAUAAACCCCACUAAAAACAUGUUUGUGUUCACAGCAUUUUGACAGAACAAUCCUCCUCUAUCCACUCUGCAGGUAUUUGCCAGAAACAGUGUUAAUAGCAUGCAGCAAUACUGCACAUUCAAAGAGAAAAGGGCCUCAGUCUUCUCUACUUUUUUUUUUUUUUAAUGUAAGUAAAAAAGUAUGUACGUUAAACCUGGUGAUAAAACAUCUUAAAAGGGAAACAAACCCAGUGUUCCUGUAAUGUUAUUAAUAAUACAGAUGGCUGCUGUUACACAUACAUAUGUUGCAUACAGAUUGACUUUUGCAAUAAAUUUCUCUGAGAUUUUCA
ensembl:lncRNA